rnacentral:rRNA from 1 species
UACAGAGGUCUCAAGCGUUGUUCGGAUUCAUUGGGCGUAAAGGGUGCGUAGGCGGUUUGGUAAGUCUCGUGUGAAAUCUCCGGGCUCAACUCGGAGCCUGCACGAGAAACUGCCGGGCUUGAGUGUGGGAGAGGUGAGUGGAAUUCCUGGUGUAGCGGUGAAAUGCGCAGAUAUCAGGAGGAACACCUGUGGCGAAAGCGGCUCACUGGACCAUAACUGACGCUGAUGCACGAAAGCUAGGGGAGCAAACAGG